rnacentral:rRNA from 1 species
UGGGGAAUUUUGGACAAUGGGCGAAAGCCUGAUCCAGCAAUGCCGCGUGUGUGAAGAAGGCCUUCGGGUUGUAAAGCACUUUUGUCCGGAAAGAAAUCCUUGGCUCUAAUACAGUCGGGGGUAUGACGGUACCGGAAGAAUAAGCACCGGCUAACUACGUGCCAGCAGCCGCGGUAAUACGUAGGGUGCAAGCGUUAAUCGGAAUUACUGGGCGUAAAGCGUGCGCAGGCGGUUUGCUAAGACCGAUGUGAAAUCCCCGGGCUAACCUGGGAACUGCAUUGGUGACUGGCAGGCUAGAGUAUGGCAGAGGGGGGUAGAAUUCCACGUGUAGCAGUGAAAAUGCGUAGAGAUGUGGAGGAAUACCGAUGGCGAAGGCAGCCCCCCUGGGCCAAAUACUGACGCUCAUGCACGAAAAGCGUGGGGAGCAAAACAGGAUUAGAUACCCUGGUAGUCCACGCCCUAAAACGAUGUCAACUAGUUGUUGGGGGAUUCAUUUCCUUAGUAACGUAGCUAACGCGUGAAGUUGACCGCCUGGGGAGUACGGUCGCAAGAUUAAAAACUCAAAUGAAUUGACGGGGUCAUAGCUGUUUCCU